rnacentral:rRNA from 1 species
GAUGAACGCUAGCUACAGGCUUAACACAUGCAAGUCGAGGGGCAGCGGGAAUCUAGCUUGCUAGAUUUGCCGGCGACCGGCGCACGGGUGAGUAACACGUAUCCAACCUGGCCCAUACUCGGGUAUAGCCUCUCGAAAGGGAGAUUAAUCCCCGAUGUUGUUGGAUUACCGCAUGGUUUUUCAACCAAAGAAUUUCGGUAUGGGAUGGGGAUGCGUUCCAUUAGCUUGUUGGCGGGGUAACGGCCCACCAAGGCAACGAUGGAUAGGGGUUCUGAGAGGAAGGUCCCCCACACUGGAACUGAGACACGGUCCAGACUCCUACGGGAGGCAGCAGUGAGGAAUAUUGGUCAAUGGUCGUAAGACUGAACCAGCCAAGUAGCGUGAAGGAUGACUGCCCUAUGGGUUGUAAACUUCUUUUAUACGGGAAUAAAGUGCCUUACGUGUAGGGUUUUGUAUGUACCGUAUGAAUAAGCAUCGGCUAAUUCCGUG